AUUGAGCGCUGGCGGCAGGCUUAACACAUGCAAGUCGAGCGGGGUGAUGGUGCUUGCACUAUCACUUAGCGGCGGACGGGUGAGUAAUGCUUAGGAAUCUGCCUAUUAGUGGGGGACAACAUCUCGAAAGGGAUGCUAAUACCGCAUACGUCCUACGGGAGAGAGCAGGGGAUCACUUGUGACCUUGCGCUAAUAGAUGAGCCUAAGUCGGAUUAGCUAGUUGGUGGGGUAAAGGCCUACCAAGGCGACGAUCUGUAGCGGGUCUGAGAGGAUGAUCCGCCACACUGGGACUGAAACACGGCCCAGACUCCUACGGGAGGCAGCAGUGGGGAAUAUUGGACAAUGGGGGGAACCCUGAUCCAGCCAUGCCGCGUGUGUGAAGAAGGCCUUAUGGUUGUAAAGCACUUUAAGCGAGGAGGAGGCUCUUUUGGUUAAUACCCAAGAUGAGUGGACGUUACUCGCAGAAUAAGCACCGGCUAACUCUGUGCCAGCCGCCGCCGUAA
rnacentral:rRNA from 1 species